rnacentral:rRNA from 1 species
GAUGAACGCUGGCGGCGUGCUUAACACAUGCAAGUCGAACGGAAAGGCCCAACCUUGCUUGGGUACUCGAGUGGCGAACGGGUGAGUAACACGUGGGUGACCUGCCCUUCACUUCGGGAUAAGUCUGGGAAACUGGGUCUAAUACCGGAUAGGACCACCUGUUGGAUGGUGUGGUGGGGAAGUUUUCCGGUGUGGGAUGGGGUCGCGGCUUAUCAGCUUGUUGGUGGGGUAGUGGCCUACCAAGGCGUCGACGGGUAGCCGGCCUGAGAGGGUGUACGGCCACAUUGGGACUGAGAUACGGCCCAGACUCCUACGGGAGGCAGCAGUGGGGAAUAUUGCACAAUGGGCGCAAGCCUGAUGCAGCGACGCCGCGUGGGGGAUGACGGCCUUCGGGUUGUAAACUGCUUUCGCUUGUGACGAAGCGUAAGUGACGGUACCGGGAGAAGAAGCACCGGCUAACUACGUG